rnacentral:rRNA from 1 species
GACGAACGCUGGCGGCGUGCUUAACACAUGCAAGUCGAACGGGGAAGCCCCAGCUUGCUGGAGAGGAUCAGUGGCGAAGGGGGGAGUAACACGUGAGCACCGUGUCCCUGCCCCUGGGAUAAGCGAUGGAAACGGCGUCUCAUACUGGAUACGAGAAGGGUCCGCAUGGGCACUUUCUGGAAAGUUAGUCGGUUGGGGAUGGGCUAGCGCCCUAUCAGCUUGUUGGUUAGGUAGUGGGCAAGCAAGGCCAGGAAGGGUAGCAGGCCUGGGAGGGCGAGCGGCCACACUGGGACUGAGACGCGGCCCAGACCCCUACGCGACGCAGCGGUGGGGAAGAGUGCACUAGGGGAGAAACCCUGGUGCAGCGACGCCGCGUGGGGGAUGAGGUCCUUCGGUUUGUAUUCCUCUUUCAGCAUGGAAGAAGCGAAAGUGACGGUACCUGCAGAAGAAGCACCGGCUAACUACGUG